rnacentral:rRNA from 1 species
UACGUAGGUCCCGAGCGUUGUCCGGAUUUAUUGGGCGUAAAGCGAGCGCAGGUGGUUUAUUAAGUCUGGUGUAAAAGGCAGUGGCUCAACCAUUGUAUGCAUUGGAAACUGGUAGACUUGAGUGCAGGAGAGGAGAGUGGAAUUCCAUGUGUAGCGGUGAAAUGCGUAGAUAUAUGGAGGAACACCGGUGGCGAAAGCGGCUCUCUGGCCUGUAACUGACACUGAGGCUCGAAAGCGUGGGGAGCACACAGG